AAAACCUUACAAGAUAUCAGAGAUAUUUAGAUCGGAUGUCUAUCGGCUUGAAACCCUUGAAGGACCGACGAUUCUUCGAACAUGGAAUGCCGACAAUCUAAAGUUAUACUAUCAGUAAUUCUUGUAUGCACUUGGAAUGCAAUACGACUUCAGAAUCAUAAAUCUUAGUCAAUUCCAACUAAUUAAAUGUCGGCUCUCACCGAAGAAGCCAAACGAUCAAUAUUAUGACCCA
rnacentral:lncRNA from 1 species